rnacentral:lncRNA from 1 species
UCUGUAAUUUUUUUAUGCUUAAUCUAUCUAAAGUGUCGAAGAUAAUUCAUCAUCAGCUCCAAAAAAAUAUAAUAAAAAAUAGAUGGUGAUUUGAAAAAAAAAUUAAAAUUAUAAUUUUUUAGACAGUUUUGUUUACUAUUGUCUGUUUUACAGCCAAAAGGGAGGGUCAUGAUUCCUUGAAAUGACUAAUAAAAAAGGUUAUAAUGGUUGUAAAACUUGAGACAGAAAAAAGUAAAGAAAGCACAAGUGUUGUUGUCCUUUC